GACCCCUCCCCCGCACCGACGUGAUUCGGAUCGCGCGGUGCUGGCGCCGCCUUCAUGCGCCCUGCCUGGCCCCCACCUGGUCCUCUUUCCUUUUCAGGUGGAGAAGAUGCCGCUGUCCCGUCGGUCUGGGGACAGCCCAGCUCCCCGGAUCCCGGGCUGGAGAGACGCGUCGCGGCCCCGGGGCCUGGUGGCACGAGCAGGAAGGAGGACCCGGCGGCGGGCUCUGCCUGGGCUUGCCUGGGCUUGUUCCGAGCCGGGCUGCUUCUCGGUGACCACGCAGAUCGGGGGCAUUUGGAGAUUUUGCGGGAGUCCUGCAGCCAAGCUCCGGGGCAGGAGAGGCCUGGAAGCCUGCACUACCUGCUCGCCCCGUCCCAGCGUGCACCCAGGUGCUGGGGAGAGGCAAGACAGGCCUGUCCCCUGAGUCCCCUCCGGAUGCUGUGGACUGGCCAGCUGUGAGUGUUUCUUUGGCAGUGUCUUAGCUGGUUGUUGUGAGCAAUAGUAAGGAAGCAAUCAGCAAGUAUACUGCCCUAGAAGUGCUGCACGUUGUGGGGCCCGAGAGGGAAGAUGAGGCGAGAGAUGCCCAGACCAGUGGGAGACGCCAGGACUUCGGAAGCUCUUCUGCGCCACGGUGGGUGGUGAGGGCGGCUGGGAAAGUGAGCUCCAGGGCCCCAGGAGCAGCCUGCUCGUGGGUGCGGAAGGAAAAAGGCACAGGGGCUUGGUGUGGGCGGCUUUUGGCUGGGAGAAGUUUGCACGUAGGGAGAAUAGUAGCCAGUGUUUGCAGAGCACUUACUAUGCAGGAAGGCCUGUCCUAAGCAUUCUAAGUGUAUUACAUCAUGAACAAGUGUCUGUGAUUAGCCCCGUCUUGCAGAGAAGGAAACAGAAGUACAAACAGAAAAUGUAACUAAGCAUGCAAUUAAUAAAAAGGGGCCAGGUUUUGAACCCAAGCAAUCUGGCUCAAGAAUCUGUGCCCAACCACCGGCUCCUGUUCUUAGAGAUGAAUGUGGAGUCCUGGAGCCUGCUCCGCAUUGUAACUUGAUCAUGAGCGUACGCGCUCCCUGUCCCCAGGAGACAGAUUUCCAGUGCAAUCAUAGAAAGUGCCUGUGUGGGCUUCGGGAGAUGUGUCUGCCUUGGGGAGAAUUUUCCUUUUCAGCUAGAGCCAGGCCCAGGAUGUUGACGUCAAUGAGACGCUGGUGACGUUCUCUGCUCCAGUGGCUGAUGAGAAAAGUUCCUCCAAGACAGCUCAGUUGAGGAGAAUUAAGUUCUCUGGGUCCCACUGCCUUCACCUACAGAUGCCAACUUUGAAGCCAGUGAACUGUGAGGCCAGCUGGACUGAUUGCCAUGGCAAUAGGAAUUGGACCCAAGUCACCGGAGGAUGGAGAGGGAAGACACAGUAGUGGCUUCCCCAGGUCUUGGACCACAAGGCACAAUCGUGGCCUCCAGGAAGCCUGAGAUAACCCGUUAGUGGGUCCUGCACUCCAACAGAACUCGUGCAAUCAGCCUCUGGUCCUCACCCUCCUCCCAUUGGUGUCGUUGUGCUCUCUGACAUUGACAUUGAGCAGUGAGUGCUCCAGAUCUCGUUCCACUGAUUUUUUCCACUGUUCUCCAGUCUAGCACUUUCUGAAAUUCAUCCAAGCCUAAGAGGUGAUGCCAAAUGUCAGCGGCUUACACCUUGGACCUCAUGGACUAAGACAAGCCUCUGGGGUCCAUGUGGCACCAAGGAUGGGGUCUUCUAAUACCUUUCACACAGGCCAGGGACAGCACCUGCUGUGACCCCCACCCCCAGCCUCUGCCUCUUCUCCCGUUGCCCUUCCAAUCACUGCCCUGGGCACCUCCCCUGCUCCCGCCUCCCUGCCUGGGCCCAUCUUUCUUUCCACCUCACCGAUUGCAGGGCUCCCUAGCGCUGGAGGGGAAGGGAGCCUGCUUCCAUUCUUACCACUCUGAAAGUCAGAAGGCCCUGCAGAGAGGUUUUCUGGGAUUUGGAGCCUAACCUUGGCCUUGACACGGUCCAGAUGAGAAGGCCGUCCCCCAGUUAAGCCAGCCCUCCCUCCCUCUCAAUGCUGGAGAGGAAACCAGGCAGCUGGUUGCUUCAGCAAACCCCAUCCCUACGGGAAUUGUUCUUUUUUUCCUCAAAUAGACGAGUGCAGAGGACUUGCUUCAGAGAGAGCCCCUUUGUAGCAUGCAUUCACGGGCCGUGCCCCAUGCCUACUCUGCCACAAACUCCCCUCAGCUGCCCAGCCCCGUGGAGCCAGGCGUGGGCUGAAGUGGGGCCAAUGAAAUGCCUGGAAUGCCAGCCGCAGCGACAGGCCAGCACUCAGAUGCCUCUCGGGAGUUCUGACCGAAGCAGCACUGAGGACCGCUUCAGAGCAGAAGUCUACACCAUUUUCCCCAGUUUUAGGCAGAAGUAAAGAAUGUCUCUACCUUCUCCCAACCAGCAAUUGAUUCAGAGUCCUGAGCUUUUAAAUUAAAGGGACCCCUCUGUUGCUUUAUGCAGUAGCCAGCUUAUUCAUUUGAGUUCAGGUGAAAUCAUUUUCAAGUAACCUCUUCCUAUCCAGCUUUGCUUUUAGUUAUGCUGACAUAAAAACAAUAAAAAUUGUCCUUCUCAGAGUUCACCUGUAAAAGUUUCUGGAUAAUUAGUAAGGAAACAGAAACAGCAGACAGUUGUUGCUUCAGAUAAAAGUGAUGUCUGGGUCGGGCACAGUGGCGCAUGCCUGUAAUCCCAGCACUUUGGGAGGCCAAGGUGGAUGGAUCCCUUGAGUUCAGGAGUUUCAGACCAGCCUGGGCAACAUCUCUACAAAAAAUACAAAAAUUAGCCGGGCAUAGUGGCAGGACUGUAGUCCCAGCUACUCAGGAGGCUGAGGUCAGGGGAUGGCUUGAGCCCAGGAGGCACAGAUUGAAGUGAGCUGAGAUUGCGCCGCUGUACUCCAGCCUAGGCGACAGAACCAGACCGUGUCUCAAAAAGAAAAAGGUAAUUGUGGUCAUUUAAUUUACUUCUGCAUUCUUUUUUUUUUUUUUUGAAAUGGCCAGUGGUACCAUCUCAGCUCACUGCAACCUCUGCCUUGGGGGUUCAAGUGAUCCUCCUGCCUCAGCCUCAUGAGUAGCUGGGAUUACACGCACCCACCACCAUGCCCAGCUAAUUUUUGUUUUUUUAGUAGAGACGGGGCUUUGCCAUGUUGACCAGGCUGGACUCAAACUCCUGACCUCAGGUGAUCCGCCCACCUCGGCCUCCCAAAGCACUGGGAUUACAGGAAUGAGCCACUGCACUCGGCCUACUUCUGCAUUCCUUAGAGUGCAUCCUAGCUAGGAUAUAUUCAGUUGUCUUUAGAGCUAACAGCAGAAGAAAGGUACUUAGAUGCUUAUCUAGCUCUUUAUCUUUCUAGAAAUUCUAGAAGAUGAGAGGGGCAGUGGUGGCUCCAAGGGAGUGAUUUUAGGAUGGACUGGGACAGAGAGGGGCUGCUUACACAUACUCAUACAGAGGCCAUUAAUUUAGGGAGUUCAUGGUCCAGGAGGCUGACGGCAUCUAGGCCUGUGGCAGAGUGCGCUCCUGCUGGGGAAUGUAUGGGCAGAUUCUUGCCUAUAGUUGGAGGGUUAGAGAGGAGGGAUCAAUAAUUUCAUGGCUGGACUUGAGUUUGGAAGCGAGUGGAGUUAGAUACGAAUUCUGUUUUUGGAGAAAGUAUUUGAUCUUCUUGGCUGUGAGGCAAAGCGAGGUUUAAAAAUAUUUUUGACUUAAAAAAUAUAUAUAUGCAUGUAUAUUUAAUACCAUCUAUGGAUUGUGCCAAUAUCUAUUUUAUGGUUUUGAUAUUGUGCAGUUAUACAAGGAGUUACCACUGAACGAAACUGGGGGACGGGUACACAGAAUCUCUGUACUUUUUUUGUUGUUGUUGCAAUUUCCUGUAAAUCUAUGAUUAUUUUAAAAUAAAAAAGUUAAAGCAUACGUAUUUACAUUUGAUUAAAUGCAGUGUGAUAUCCUGGGUUGGAUUUUGGAACAAAAAAAGGCAUGAGUGAAAAAACUGGUAAAAUCCAAAAAAGCCUUUAGUUAAAAGUAAUACCAGUGUUAAUUUCUUAGUUUUGACAAAUUUGCCAUGGCUGUGUAAGAUGCAAAUGCUAGAGGAAACUGGGCGAAGAAUUUGAGGGAACUCUCUGUACUAUUCUUUGCAGCUUUUCUGUAAAUCUACAAUUAUUCCAAAAUAAAAGUCUAUUAAAAAUGUAA
rnacentral:lncRNA from 1 species